CACCCCCACCCUCCUUCCUCAGGGCACUUCCUAAGUGGGGGUCUCCCCCUCCAUCUCCCUGACAGCCCCCCCACCACCUCCUGAUCCUGCCUGUGGUCCCCUAUAUCUCCUGGCCACUGCGAUACAAAUCUAUUUAUUUUCAGGCGUGGAGAAAGGGGAGAAGAUGGGGAAGGGGGGGUGCCAGAGCUCGAGUGCCAUGGCCCUUGCUGCCUUCCUUCAUGGCACUUACGACUCGGCGGGACCCAUGGGCCACCGCUCAGGGCACCCCUACCACCUGCAUCUUCAUCCCCUGACCCAGGCCCCCCAGACCCCACGAGACGUUUGGAGAUUCGAAACUUUGUCUUCACCCUCUCCCCUACCCCUAGCCCUCUCCCAAUUUUUUAAAGCACUUUUUAGAUUUUUUUUUCUUUUCCUCCUUAAAAACAAAAUUUAUAUAUAGAUAUAUAUAUAUAUAAAAUAUACUUUUCCUCAGAGGAGCAGGUGACAGUGUGGGGUGAAAGAGCCAAGGGCAGAGGGAACCCAGGGUCUCAUGGUGGCAGGGAUGUGGGGAGCGAGAGUGUCCAGAAGUUCCAGUGUCACAAAAGCAAUAAAAACAAGAUUUUACAAAAUGAAAGGAAAAACAAAAACAAAACAAAACAAAAAAAUCACAAGACAACCAACCACAAAUAGAAGUCUUGGCACUUUGUAACAGAACGGGUACUACACUUUAUCUUAAUUCUUAAUUUAAGAACAUGUUUACAAGUUGCAACCAACUUCUAUGAAAAGUCAAAAAGACAAAAAAAAAAAAAAAAAAAAAAAAAAGCGAGCGAGAGAGAGAGAGCGAGCGAGCGAGAGAGAGAGAGAGCAAACAAAUUCCUAAAAGUCGAUUUAUUUUUGUACAAAAUAAUAAAAAAAGAAACCCACCACAGACGUAGAAUCCACUUCUGUUCCCCAAGGUGAGAAGGGGGUCAGGAAAGCAUGGGCCAGGGCGAGGCCUUCUGAGGUAUUUGUGCUUUACCAUGGGGGCUUGCCUUGCAGGCAGGACUGUGGGGUUUUUGUGUUUCUG
rnacentral:lncRNA from 1 species